rnacentral:lncRNA from 1 species
UUUAGGCCAUUUGGGACUUGGAAGAGGGACAUGAGAAUGCAGGCGAUUCCUUGGUUUUUGGGGGAAGUGUCGAGAUUUUUGAUAUCUUGGUCUGCAAGAAGUAAGGCUGCCAGAGGUUUCUUGCAUUUUCUGACAUCAUCACUGAAGAAGAACGGUAAUGGAAAAGCAGAGAAUGUGAUGGUGGAGGGCCUGGAGGGAGAGGAAUAUACUUUACUGGAUUUGCCAGAUUUGGCUUUGGAAUGCAUUCUUGAGAGGCUUUCUCCAUUUCAGCUCUGUAGUAUGGCUGCAGUUUGCACGUCUUUGAGUGAGAGGUGCAGCAGUGAUCAUUUAUGGGAGAAACACAUGAAGCAGAAAUGGGGUAGAUUGGUUGGUAAUGCAGCGUAUCAACAAUGGCAAUGCUACAUUGCUUCAAGAAACAGAGCUAAGCUACAGGAGAGUAAAAGGGGAAAAGGAUUACUUGGGUACUUUUCAAUCUUCUCUGAUAAGAUGUGGAAUAGAUCAAGAGAAAAUGAGAUUGUUACUGAGCAGAGAAAUUCCUUACCUGUAGAUUCUGUAAAGGCUUGGUAUCUUGCUAUUGAAACCGGGAAAUUCCGGUUUCCAGCCCAGGUUUAUAACCGCGAGGUAAUUCACUGAAGUUGCCUAAUUUUGAUUCUUCUUUUAUUUUUUCCCCCUUUGGUUGGAUUACAAGUACAAAAGACCUUUAGUUUCCAGACUACCAAUUUUGGUUGGAUUCUGUAAAGGCUUGGUAUCUUGCUAUUGAAACCGGGAAAUUCCGGUUUCCAGCCCAGGUUUAUAACCGCGAGGUAAUUCACUGAAGUUGCCUAAUUUUGAUUCUUCUUUUAUUUUUUCCCCCUUUGGUUGGAUUACAAGUACAAAAGACCUUUAGUUUCCAGACUACCAAUUUUGGUUGGAUUAACGUGUGGAAUUUUACCUGUAGAAUGGCCAAGUUGGGUUUAUGCUCUCUUGUUAUGAUGCUGAGUUGAGCUAUGAUUCAAGCACAGACACCUUUAUUGCAAGGUAAAUGUUUUCUGCAAUCUCUUUUUGCACAUUACAUAUCCCAAGGCUACACAAGGGAUGCUGAUCAUUAUUAGUUAGGUAACUUUCUUGAGUAAACCUCUUGGAAAGCAUUUAGUUCUGUUUGCAACAGUGAUUUGGGACAUAUUUUGGAGUUGGUUGUUUGAAAUACUAAUUAGGCAUUAUUGCAGGUACUCAGCACCUGGGCGAAGGCCGACAAUAGAGGACAACAUAAAGUGGAAUAGGAUAAGGGCACCAGCAGUUGAUAUCCCUGCACAUGUCCUUCAUGUCUCAGAUUGUCUGCAUGAUCUGAAACCUGGUGAUCACAUAGAGGUUCAGUGGAGAAGGAACAGAGAUUUCCCAUAUGGUAUGUUUCUUGUCCCCUAGUGUAUCCCCUUUGAUGUAUCUCCCUUGACCCUUCUGUUUUACUGGAUUUUCAUUUUUGCCACUGUAUCAGCAUCAGAUUAGGUUCAUUUUUUGAGUUCUCUUUUGAUUGAGGCACUUCUGAUUUCUGGUUUCAAUAAAUUUCAGGUUGGUGGUAUGGAGUUGUUGGACACUUGGAGUCAUGCACAGGCCAGGAAUCGCAUUGCCAGUGUCAUCUAAAUGGUAUGUCAAUUGGAUUCUUUUGUUUUAUGGGCAUAAUUAAGUUUUAUGGCUAGACAAUCAGGGCAAUGACUGUAUAUUUCUCAAGCCUUUGCAUAUCUUCUUUAACUUUUGCUCUGAUUUGACAAUUGAAAAAUUGCACUUAACUAGACAUUUGAUACUGUAUGAGCCAAUUAACACCUUUUAGCAUUCUUACCAUUUUUUUCCCACUUCUUUGCCACUGUUGAGGAAUUAUCUCAGCAUCAUCUUAGAUGCCAAAUAUUCUAUGACAAAAAAAUCAGUUCUUACCCGGGAGACUAAAGCAGUCAUUGACUGGGAUGAUUCAUAAACCUUACUCAGUUGUUUUAUUCAUCAUCUAUUGGUGCUCAAGCUGCAUGCUUCUCCUGCUGUUUUGGCUAAAAUUUUACCUGGGCAACCCUAGACAACUUUCCUUAUAUUUGUCCAAUUUACUGAAGCUAAAUCCUUAAACAAAUGUAUGUGCUCCGUGUGCCUGCAAUACAUUUCAUGGAUAUGUAGCUGGCAUCGGCAUAAUCUGAAUCUAAUGAUGAAUUGAUGGUCCUAAAACAUCUUUUACCUGGGCAACCCUAGACAACUUUCCUUAUAUUUGUCCAAUUUACUGAAGCUAAAUCCUUAAACAAAUGUAUGUGCUCCGUGUGCCUGCAAUACAUUUCAUGGAUAUGUAGCUGGCAUCGGCAUAAUCUGAAUCUAAUGAUGAAUUGAUGGUCCUAAAACAUCUUUUACCUUUUUGAACUUGCAAAAUUACAGAAAUUAUCUGCCAAGUUACAGUUGUGUCACACCAUAUACUGCAACUGAACUAUUUAGCUUGUUUAGCUUGUAUUGUCUUUCAGUAACAAAUUUGGAGUAAAGAUAGAAGAAGGCUUUGAAAGAAAUGCCUCCAAAUUUGAGCUUCUUACUGUGACAAAUGAAUGUUUUUGUCCACUAUUCAUCAUACUCUUAUGCUUGAAAACAUAAGAGUAAACUGGUUAUCUAAAACCAAAAGUAGUGCUGCAUGGUUUCAAAACUCAAGCAUGCCUUCGCCUUAACAAUGCUAGGACAUUUUUCAUGAGAAAUUCAUCAUGUCAAUGACACUUAUCAUCUUCUCAAAAGAAAGUCUUAUGUCUACUCUUUAAGGGAGUUUCAAAUCAUCUGAUUCUUUUCCUGAACUCAUUCAUAUUUAC